AGAGUUUGAUCCUGGCUCAGAUUGAACGCUGGCGGAAUGCUUUACACAUGCAAGUCGAACGGCAGCACGGGCUUCGGUCUGGUGGCGAGUGGCGAACGGGUGAGUAAUGCGCCGGAACGUAUCCCGUAAUGGGGGAUAACGCAGCGAAAGCUGUGCUAAUACCGCAUACGCCCUGAGGGGGAAAGCAGGGGACCGCAAGGCCUUGCGUUAUGGGAGCGGCCGACGUCUGAUUAGCUAGCAGGUGGGGUAAAGGCCUACCUAGGCGAUGAUCAGUAGCUGGUCUGAGAGGAUGAUCAGCCACACUGGGACUGAGACACGGCCCAGACUCCUACGGGAGGCAGCAGUGGGGAAUUUUGGACAAUGGGCGGAAGCCUGAUCCAGCCAUUCCGCGUGAGUGAAGAAGGCCUUCGGGUUGUAAAGCUCUUUCGGCAGGGAAGAAACGGUCCGGGUUAAUAAGCCGGACUACUGACGGUACCUGAAGAAGAAGCACCGGCUAACUACGUGCCAGCAGCCGCGGUAAUACGUAGGGUGCGAGCGUUAAUCGGAAUUACUGGGCGUAAAGGGUGCGCAGGCGGUUCAUCAAGUCUGACGUGAAAGCCCCGGGCUUAACCUGGGAACGGCGUUGGAAACUGAAGGACUUGAGUGCGGCAGAGGGGGGUAGAAUUCCACGUGUAGCAGUGAAAUGCGUAGAGAUGUGGAGGAAUACCGAUGGCGAAGGCAGCCCCCUGGGUUGGCACUGACG
rnacentral:rRNA from 1 species